ACGUUUGCAAUUUUUUUUGCAAAGCGGGCACAAGUUAAAAUGUGACAUAAAAAGCGGGUAUAGAUGCAAAUCCCCCAUAAAAGAAGCUACAGUUGAAGGCCUGAACAAAGUAACAAAUGGACUUCAAUUCUGGCCCAAAUCGCAAAACGAAAACCAAAUAAAAACAAACGAACACCCUAAAACCCUACUUCUUCUUUUUCGACUCGCAUAAUUUUUCCAGCUUUAAGGUUUUCUCACAUCCGCUGCACAAAUGGGAAAAGGAACAGGUAGUUUUGGUAAGAGGAGGAACAAGACACACACACUGUGUGUGAGAUGUGGUCUUCGUCGCUUCCACAUCCAGAAGAGCCGUUGUUCAGCUUGUGCUUACCCUGCUGCUUGUCUCAGAAAAUGUAUGUUUUGUUUUCAUUUUUGAAGCACCCUUUUGAUAUUGAUAUUUGCUUGUUGGAACUGGUAUUUUAUUGAGAGACAUUUCAAUGUUGGAAAUCGAUGUAUUUCUUUAGUUGAUUAUGAGCUUGUUUGGUUUGGAUUAGAAAAAGGGUAGUGGCUGUUUACAUAGUCAUCAUAAGAUAACUGAUUGUAAUGUCAGUUUUACUGAGCACAUAGUCAUCAUAAGAACUGCAUACUUCAACUCUGUUAUAUGUGGGAUUAACUGGUUUGUCUUUCUUUUGGGCACCGCAGGAACCGAGGCUACUCCAAGGAAGAAGGGUGCUGCUGUAGCCUCUUAAAGUUUCUAAAUUAGCAGUUCAACUGUUUCGUUUUGAUUUUUUGCUUUACAUUCCCUGAUGAAUCGAGUCUUGGAUAUUCGUACCUCUGAGUAUUAUCUCUCAUUUGUUAGUGUGGAGUGGUUCCUAUUUAAGACAGAUCCAAUGAUGAUUGCCUUUUGUCCUUUAUAUAGUAGUUCUUUUACA